GAGCGUAGAGGACUGGAGCCAGGACGC
rnacentral:sRNA from 1 species